GAGUAUGAUACAGGAUGUAACGCAACAUCAACAGAAGAUAAGUAAUGUAAUAAAGUUAUACAUUUCUGUAUAGAUUAAAGUUAUAUACCUGCAGUGUGAAAUAAUACUCCCUGUAAGAAAGUGACUUGAAAGUGACUCGAGUCUUCCUUUCUUGUGUAAAACAGAACCCAGAACACCUUCCUCUGCUCCGUCUGACUCCUUUGUCACUACACCUUUAAUUUGCUCUGCACAUCUGUGUCAGCUUCUUGAUGAUGUUCCAUUACUUCAAAGGGAUUAUGGGCUCGGAAGCGCCACUUGAUGGCUUUUAAAGUGCCUUGGAAUAAUUGAGCACUUCAAUGAUAUCUUGGAAAGUGAUGUAUCAAAGACCUCUGUUCCCUCGGAAAUAUUCAUAAGCCUGAACCUGUCCCAGGAGAUACAUAAAGUAAACCCAGGCUGCUGCAGGAGACAAUCUGCAAGCAGGACCAGAAGGAGGACCCCUGGUGGCCAAACUUUUAUCAAGAAGUAUAUUAGAAAGUGCAUAUCGGAGAAUAAUUGUUAAAUUAAACCAUCUAAAACCUAAUAAGAAGGAAUAUGUUGCAGGCAAAUAACCGCAGUGGUAGGGAAUAAGGAGAUAAUGAUGACCACGGGGCUGAGAGUGAAGAGAGAAUAAGAUAGUUUGAUGAUUGGAUGGAGCAAUGGUCAACUAGCGGCGUCCAUGACCGCAACACUACUGGGGAACCCUGCUGAGAACUCUUCUUUCAUGAUGAAAAUAGCAAAAUGCUUAUAUAAAUACGCAGUAAUUCCAGACUAAAACAAAGAGUUCAGUAAACUUUAUCCAUCUCCAUGAUGUUCUCCCCGUAAGUUCUCUGUCUUCCUAUAGUCGUGGACCAGUAAACCUCGUCUGGUUGCGCAGUCACCUAGCGCCAUCUUGUGGAGAAGGUGCCACGUUCAUGCUUGGCAUGGACUCCGAGCUCUCAAAGGCAAUUAGGAAGGCUUUACACUAGUGAUAAAAGCUGGAGAACACCGAACUGUCUUAGUGAAAACAUGUUCCGUACAAAUGAGAGAAGAAGGCAGAUCAGACGCCUGUCUCCGGCGAUCAGCGAGCGCUGUGUUAGGGGGGGGGGGAGGCAGCCGCUCAUCACCUGCCUAAUGUUAUCUGAGCGAUGUACACAGCUGGGGAGGAACUCUACCUGUACACUGUAUGGAGGGAUAUCUCACCACUAUGGCUUGCUACCAGUCACAGGGAUUAUGGCCACUUGUCCUUGGCCCUCUGUGUCCUUGUGUCUUUUAUCCAUGACCUGAUCAUGUGCCACAAUAUACGUCUAUUAUUCUGUCAUUGUAGUGCUAUAUUAUGUAAGCACUAUAUUUCAGUAAUAUAUGGGCACUCUAUAGGUAUCAUUUUGCUACUAUACUGUACUAUUAUGUAGGCACUAUACUGCAGUAUUAUAUAGCCCUAUGUAGUUCUAAUAAUUUGUCCCUUUAUUGCAAUAUUACCUAGGCACUAGAGA